rnacentral:lncRNA from 1 species
GGGGUGGCCGCCCCCGGGGGGUCACAGCCACCGGGCAGCCGGUGCGCAGCUCCUGGCUGGAAAUCUGGUCCUGCAAACGCAGCGACUGCGGGUAACAGCCCGGCGAAAGGGGAGCGAGGAGGGGAAAAACCUUCUGAACUUGGCCGUGUGGUCAGUGCAGUAUUGUGGGUUGGGGGUUUAGAAAAGCUAUGAACCUGGCUGGAAAGCCUCUCCGUGAUUCAUCCCGUUUUCACCCUGACUUUGGUACCCAGUGUUUCGGGAGAGCAGAUGCGUCUGUGCUUUUUUUUGGCUUUUUGGGGAGCCGUGAUGUGUGCUGGGAAGGGGCUUCUCGACAUGACCGGCCCUUUGCCUGCUCUGCCGCGUGCCUUGCUGGUUUCCCUGGUACUCAGUYCUGCCUAGGCGGACCUGAUGGGAGCCCGCUGGAAAAUUCCUAAGGACUUGAAGGUCCUGCGCCGCGCGGGAGGGAGACCAUGUUCCGCUUGCGAGUCGGUGCCCGCAGCCCGAGUCUCCGUCUGUCCCUACACGUGACAUGGGCUGAGCAUCCCUGUCCUGACAGUGGGAGCGGGCUCUGCUCAUUAGAGAGUGUUUCAAGCAACUCCGUUCAUAGCCCACAGGAACAUGGGAUUUUAAUUUACCCACUUGCUUCAGAGCUCGAAAAUCCACUGCUGCAAUCAGGACAGUUGCAGCUUUGAUUAAAAAUCCUAAAGGCAAGUCUCGUGUGUUUUGCUUCCUCCCUUCUACAAGCAGAAAGAAGAUUGGGUGCAUAAAAUAAUGAUGAGCGAGUUCAAAGCCAUCGCAGAAAGCUGCCCUGAGAGGACGUUCUCUAAUGCGACUCCAGCCCUUUACCGUUCUUCUUCCUCGCUGAGUGAGCGCCAACACAACAGACACAGUCUGGCAAGAGCCACUGCCGACAGUCCCCAAAUGCAGAAAUGCGCCUGCUGCGUGCGUGCGGGCGAAGGAGCCACGGCAAAGGCUUUAUUAGAGCAGCUUCCCUCUGAGACACGAGCAAACAAGCUGAGUUCUUCAGAGCUGCAUAGACUGUGAGGCCAAACGGAUCAUACACACUGACAGCUUGCUUAAUUAUGUGCUGAACUUUUCAGC